UAUCUCUUUCGUCUGCAGGGGGAGGGGUUACACCAGCUCCGAGAGGCUUUGAAGAUUUUAGCUGAGAGGGUUUUAAUCUUGGAAACAAUGAUUGGGCUCCAUGGCCAUUAGCUUACAAAGCUUCCUAGAGCAGCAGGCCCAGCUGGAGCUCCUGGCUAGGAGGGUCACCUUGCUGGAAGCUAUCAUCUGGCCAGAACCAGAACUGGGAUCCGGCAUUGGUCCUGCCUCCACUAGCACUCCCAGCUACUACCGGGGGAAACGUGAUGAGAAUCUGGCAGCUUACAGGGUGACCUCCCACCAGCAUGCCCAGAGGAAAGAGGACAAGAAGAAAUGAAGAGUGACCAGCUUGCCUGCUGGGUGCAAAAGGAAAGCACACUUGCAAUCACAGCGGUCUCCUUUGGGGUGGCGUCCAACCCUCUGCCCGCUUUUGACCGUCGCAAGGUGAAGCAGCAAAAAGGGGUGCAUUGCCACUGCGCCUGGGAGAAUACUUGCUUGCUAACAGCCCUGCUUUAUAUUUAUUUGGUCUGUUCCUUUUGUGCAAGGGGUCUGUAACCAAUUUGUUGUGUGCCUGGCUUAAACUGUUGCCAGAGCUGAGCCUGUGUGCACCUUUUGUGAUUGCCUGACUCUCCUGCAGGGGGAGCUCUCCAUCUCUUGGUGCUGUUUUGCAGGGAUGUGUUUCCCCCUUCCCUAGAUACACUGGCCUGUAGUUUGCUGAUACUUUCCUGCCACUGUGGGACGGGACGUUGGCCUGUGAGUUCACUGAAGUAAA